UUGGAGCGGCACCGCGGCUUGCUCGGGGCUCCUCGGCUCGCGCUCCUCUCAGAAAUUCAGGCAGAGCCGCGGCGGAGAGCGGGAAAGGUCCCCCUUCUGAGCUCUCCGUGAGAGGUGAGGAAGCACCGCUCGGUAACUCCGUAACACAUCACGGAGCUGUUCCUGCAACUCGUCGCGUUGCUUUCCCGUUGCAGCUCUGCUGACAGAGGCUCCCACCGCCCCGGCAGAAGGAGCCCCGCUCUGCGGGAGCACAGCUAUUUAUUGACGGACUAAUUGAAGGGAGGGAACAACCCCGACAUCCAGCGCAGCACAAGUUGUGAACAGAGGACAUUAAAAACUGCCGGGACCUCCGUUUUGCUGGAGAAAGGUUUAAUAUAAAUUAAGCGGGGUGGUGAUUAACUAUGGCACCAUCUGAAGCGCAGUGAGGAGCGAGCACUGCUCUCUGCCUUUAGAAACCAAAGCAAUCCCUUCCCGAGUGGAGAGGGAGCACUCAGCAUCCUUCCCUCGGCUGCGUCCUUCCCAGAGCUAACCCUCCGUGCUGAAAGCCGAUGGUUAGAAGUAGCAGCACAACGCAAAAACCCUGUGAUUUGUUCCUGAAGUUCGUGUUUUCGCUAACAGAGCUUUGCCGGCUUCAAAGUUACAGUUCAAGAAUUCAAAAAUUCAGCUGCAGUGAAGUUUAAUCCAUCUCUAUAAACGCACAAGAAUGGAAAAACACACAGCUUUUCAGAGGCUUCCAGCAAUACCCAGAAAUAUGUGUAUAAAUUUCCAAACAGCAAAUUUAAAAAGCCCGCAGAGAAAAGAGGUAAAAAAUCCUGAAUUAAAACUCUCUGUUUGUUAUUGGUGCAUGAGUUAUGCAGUAUCAGAUGUCACUCACUUUCCCUUGCCCCAGAACAACAGCAUGGACAAGGGGGAAAUAUUGGGUACUCAGUGAAAAUGGGUGUGAUGCAGUUCCAGAGCAGUCUCAGGAUUGGAGUCUCUUUA